AGGCUGAGACUUGAUGCGUACCCGUUGUGGGGAAUUCAGUGAUCCUAUGCUGCCGAGAAAAGCCUCUAGUGAGUUCAUACACGGCCCGUACCCCAAACCAACACAGGUGGUCAGGUAGAGAAUACCAAGGCGAUCGAGAGAACUGUGGUUAAGGAACUCGGCAAAAUGCCCCCGUAACUUCGGGAGAAGGGGGACCACGCCCGGUGAACACCCUUUGCGGUGGGAGCUGGGGGUGGUCGCAGAGACCAGAGAGAAGCGACUGUUUACUAAAAACACAGGUCCGUGCGAAGACGUAAGUCGAUGUAUACGGACUGACGCCUGCCCGGUGCUGGAAGGUUAAGAGGACCGGUUAGCCGCAAGGCGAAGCUGAGAAUUUAAGCCCCAGUAAACGGCGGUGGUAACUAUAACCAUCCUAAGGUAGCGAAAUUCCUUGUCGGGUAAGUUCCGACCUGCACGAAUGGCGUAACGACUUCUCUGCUGUCUCGACCACAGACUCGGCGAAAUUGCAUUACGAGUAAAGAUGCUCGUUACGCGCGGCAGGACGAAAAGACCCCGGGACCUUUACUAUAGCUUGGUAUUGGCGUUCGAUUCGGUUUGUGUAGGAUAGGUGGGAGACUGUGAAGCAUGCACGCCAGUGUGUGUGGAGUCGUUGUUGAAAUACCACUCUGAUCGUAUUGGACGUCUAACCUCGGCCCAUGAUCUGGGUUAGGGACAGUGCCUGGUGGGUAGUUUAACUGGGGCGGUUGCCUCCCAAAGAGUAACGGAGGCGCCCAAAGGUUCCCUCAGCCUGGAUGGCAAUCAGGUGUUGAGUGCAAGUGCACAAGGGAGCUUGACUGUGAGACUGACACGUCGAGCAGGGACGAAAGUCGGGACUAGUGAUCCGGCACCGGCAUGUGGAAGCGGUGUCGCUCAACGGAUAAAAGGUACCCCGGGGAUAACAGGCUGAUCUUCCCCAAGAGUCCAUAUCGACGGGAUGGUUUGGCACCUCGAUGUCGGCUCGUCGCAUCCUGGGGCUGGAGUAGGUCCCAAGGGUUGGGCUGUUCGCCCAUUAAAGCGGCACGCGAGCUGGGUUUAGAACGUCGUGAGACAGUUCGGUCUCUAUCCGCCGCGCGCGUAAGAAACUUGCGGAAGGCUGUCCCUAGUACGAGAGGACCGGGACGGACGAACCUCUGGUGUGCCAGUUGUUCCACCAGGAGCAUCGCUGGUUAGCUACGUUCGGAAGGGAUAACCGCUGAAAGCAUCUAAGCGGGAAGCCUGUUCCAAGAUGAGGUUUCUCACCACCUUCGCGUGGUUAAGGCCCCCCACAGACCAUGGGGUUGAUAGGCCGGAACUGGAAGCGCAGCAAUGCGUGCAGGUGACCGGUACUAAUCGGCCGAGGACUUACACA
rnacentral:rRNA from 1 species